UCUUUCUCUCUCAUCUCUCUCUUUUUCUUUAACUUUAUUCAACUAUUGAGCAAUUAUUAUAAUGGAAGGGCUCGCAAAGGUUGCACCAUGAAAUCCCACCAACCUGGGAUUUCGUACCCAAUGUUGAUGUAGGUCACGGUCCUCCUGCAAGGGCUGAUGAUACAUCCUACCCUACAUCAGGCUGACCAGAUCACGUGCUCUUUCCAAGCAGCCUGGUCUCGCAACGAUCCCACCCCUGUUUAAAUCGAAAGCACCAUCGGAAGCAAGUAGAUUAUCUUGAGAGGUGCUUGGCAUGUCUCCCCACGGGUUCCAUUAUUUUGGGUUACACCAGCUCUACAAAAAAUGAGAAACUUUCUAUCUCUUAAAAAGUAAAACGAGGAAUUCAGCUUACAUCGAAGUAGCAGGAACAAAAGUACUGCCUCCCAGCCCAUCCUUCCCAGCUGGCUAUGGGACUUAAGGCAUCUCAUGCUCACCAGAUGCUACACGGUGCCUGAGGAGAAGCCCAGGGAGGACAGAACAGCUGUGAGCCUCAAAAAUGAGCCCGUUUUCAACUCCGCUGGGGCAAUGGACUGUCAAAGAGUGGCUCAUAAAAUAGCUUUUUCAUUCAGUCACUCAAUAACUAAUUACAGAGUGACUGCUGGGUACAAGGCAUUUUUCUGUCCCUGCUCCCCCGCCCCAGGUGUGAACACCAGCCCUGCAGUCCCUCCGAUGUACAGCAGACGCUAAAUCCAGGAGGCGGCUCAGGCACCAGAGUAAUCCGCAGUUGUGGGAGGCUUAAGACUCCAGCCCCUCUGCUGCCAUGAGCAAACCACCUCAGCUGUUCCAAAGCGAAGCCGUAUUUCACCUCUCCCAAGAGGCCAGAUGGAAGCCACACUACAGAUUCCAGAAGGAUGGGCAGAUGCGGGGAUGUGAAGAUCUUGGGUGGAUCAACAGCACAGAGGAGAAGGAAAAUCCUGUGAUGUGAAAUAUUCUCCGCAAGAAAAGCAAUUGGAGAAGUGACCACGAAGCCACUUCAGCUGUUUGUGUGCUCUCUCUCUCUCUCUCUCUCUCUCUCUCUCUCUCUCUCUCAGAAUCCCUCCAGUAAAUAGUUAAAGAAAAAAAAAAAAAGAUGAUGGCUUUGGAUCGCAUGUUUUUACUGGAAUUGGAAGGGGUUUUAUCAAGAGAAGUCCAGAACACUCCCUUCUCACCUGAAGGAGGACAACACCAUCCCCCCCGCUUC